CCCAGACUCCUACGGGAGGCAGCAGUGGGGGAUAUUGCACAAUGGGGGGAACCCUGAUGCAGCGACGCCGCGUGGGUGAAGGAGCGUUUCGGCGCGUAAAGCCCUAUCGGCAGGGAAGAAGGAGGACGGUACCUGACUAAGAAGCCCCGGCUAACUACGUGCCAGCAGCCGCGGUAAUACGUAGGGGGCAAGCGUUAUCCGGAUUUACUGGGUGUAAAGGGGGCGCAGACGGCAGCGCAAGCCAGGAGUGAAAGCCCGGGGCCCAACCCCGGGACUGCUCUUGGAACUGCGCGGCUGGAGUGCAGGAGGGGCAGGCGGAAUUCCUGGUGUAGCGGUGAAAUGCGUAGAUAUCAGGAGGAACACCUGUGGCGAAGGCGGCCUGCUGGACUGCAACUGACGUUGAGGCCCGAAAGCGUGGGGAGCAAACAGGAUUAGAUACCCCCGUAGA
rnacentral:rRNA from 1 species